UAUCUCCAUUGAUAUUACAAUCGUUGAUUUUGUAUAUGCAUUCUCCUCUCUUUCUAGGUGUGUUGAAAAUGGGUACCCAGAUGCAUAUUUCUUGUUUUUGAUUUCAGUUAUGUAAAAUGUAUUUUGAGUGUGAAAAUUUUGUUCUUCAAUUAUGCCUAUUGAGAGUGAAAUGGUGCUCGGAAACAAACCAAAUUACCCAAUAUAUUUAGGAGAUAAAGAACCAAUUAUAAAAAGGUAGCAUAGAAAGAUAUUGAAAAUACUUUCUUUUCGCAAUAGAAAAAAGUUAUUACUACUGGUUCAUAAGCAUGCAACAGCUUAUGGACAUGUUCUCUGUGAUGAAAAUUAAAAUUUUCAUGUAUUUCUUUUUCUGGCUGAAUCUAAAAGGAAAAAUUUAGAUUUUCUUUUGAAUUCUUUUAUAGAAGGAGAAUUGGGGUAGAUGAAGAAAGAGAAUUGAGAUGAGAAACAUUGCUAGAGAGACCUAAGGAAAAAGACAAGAAGGAACUAUGUAAUAUAACUAUGUGUUGGCAAGUAUUAAUGUCGCGUAUGAUAAUGGUUACCAGCUUUUUAGACACGUAAGUAUACCCACAAAAGCUAGGAGCUAAACUGACUAAAAUUCCCUGAGAUAUUUAAUUGACUAAAGGAGAUGUUUUCCCCUAGAGUAUUCUUCCGGUUGAUUCUGCUAGCUGGAGCUUAACGGUCCUUUAUGCAACUUGAAAAGAUGCUAAUGAAUAGAUUGCAGAAAAGGAAACAGGAGCGCGAGAGGAUGGAGGAAUAUAGACCAAGGUUACGGUGGUAGCGUUGUUGGUCCCAAUCACCUUAUUCCGAGUAAUAUUCCUUUAUUCCUGCCUUUUCAAUUCCCAUUCUAUAUAUCUUGUGAUUUUUUAUAAGUGUUCGUCUAUAGAAGUUUAAAAAAUGCAUUUGGUUCUACAAUAUUUUUAAAUAGGUCUUCCUUUAAAAGAAACAUAUUUUAAUUGAUAUAUAGCAGGUAAGAAAAAUGAUGUGCUAGAAUAGUUGAACUUGCCUAGGAAGAAACAAAUUAACUUGGUGGUUUGGUGAUGCUGAAGUGAUCUAAAUUUUGGAACAAAGAUCCUUUCUUGGGUAUUUUUUUCGCUGUGAAAAAUUAUCUUCCAAGUGAAGAUACUCAAUAGGCCCACCUAAGAACUUGAAGUGUGUUGCUGCAGAGUAGUGUUCGUUACAUCCUACGGUACAUCUUUCGCUCCAUUUUGUUUAAAUAUUUUUGUCGGUUUAGUGUUUGGAAGUUUUAUUUCUGUUUUGAACAGUAUAACUCUUAUUUCUCCAAUCUCGUCUGCUUUCUUACUUUUGCAAGAAUUAUAAAAGAAGCAAUCCUGCUUCCCUAAGAGACUUAUUGACUUUUAAAAGAGAUAGUACAGUGCACUGGACAUGCGAGACGAGCCUUCUUUGUCCAUUGUUUAGGUGAUUGGAAUACAAUAAUUCAUUGUACGUACAAAGAAAUUUUAAGGAAUGUGACAUUUGGGAAGGAAAUUUCCUUGGUGUGAUGCGUACGGGGAUUGUGCAUUAUGGAGGUUUGUCUCCAACCGCCUCUUUUUGCAUUUGGCUUAAUCAUGUUUUUGAAUAUUUCCCUCUUUGCUGUGGACAUGAAGUAGAUUUCAAGCUCUAGCUCCGCUUAACUUUAUAAUGGCGAUUAGCUUUUCCUUUCUUCUUUUUCAUACUUCUUUUUCUAGUAGAUUCUUUCCUGAUGAUACAUUACCGUAUGUGAAGUCGAAUUUCACAUUGUAUCAGCACACACUUAUAUUUGAUUAUGCCUAUACAUGUUAGAAAGUUUUAAUAACUGAUUUUGGUACUUUUAACAACUCAUAAAUCAAGCUAAAAAGUCAAAUAUCACACUAAGACGUGCAUUUCCACUACAUAUCCCCGUAUAUUUAUAAUUGUUGAAGUACAGCAUGGCAUGUCUCCUUACCUGCUCAUACUUUUGUAUUACCUCUGGUCUUUUACUCGCAAAUGUGCCCAAACGGUGUUUGUAAAUCAAGUAUAAUUAUUUACUCGAGGCUAUGUAUGUGAAUUGAGGGAUUCUACUAAGUCGAUGGUCGAGUACGAACAGAUCUUAAAAUGAUUCAGAUUAUUAGAAGAUGUGUUGUUUGUAUUUCUCCUGUUUGAAAUUCUAAAAUUUUAACUAUAUGGGUGUAUUCAAAUUAAUGUCAAUGCUCGUGAAAUUUCUAUUCUGUCCUCAUGCCUAUUUGACUUUAUAACAAAAUUUGCUAUGUUAUGCAAGCUUCACAAAUAGAUCAACAUGGUACUGUGUGUUGCACAUUCUAUCUUCAAUAAAUUCUUCAACUUCUUCCGGAAACAAAUGAUUAGUCCCCCCUGCUUCUCACAUUCCAUGAAUAGCAGGGCUAUCGAGGAAUAUCCAGAAAAGCAUUUCGGCUGCUUUGCAUUAGCUUGCUGAACAUUUUGACUCCUGUAAAACAGAACACAGAGCACAACCGCAUUUCUGUGAUGACAUCAUGAUAAAAUGAAAUUGAUUGCUUACAUUCGACAGGACGAUAAGAUGGAAUUGUUGGCUUCCAUUCGUGAAAGAAUGUUAUAACUGUGAUCAUCACUCAUCACGAUUGUUAGAGCAGUGGUGUCUUAAGUAUAUAUAAAAUGUUAUUACUUAUUCCUCUGUAAUGAGUCUCAUGGUACCAAUUAGAGUUAUUAAAAGUCUGCUGCUUUUUGUGAUGAUAUGAUACUCAUACUAUUACGAGGUUGUGCUUGAUUUGUAAGAUGCAUGUAAUGCUGCAAUACGUUUUGCUGAACAAAGAUA